rnacentral:rRNA from 1 species
GAUGAACGCUGGCGGCGUGCCUAAUACAUGCCAGUCGAGCGAACAGACGAGGAGCUUGCUCCUCUGACGUUAGCGGCGGACGGGUGAGUAACACGUGGAUAACCUACCUAUAAGACUGGGAUAACUUCGGGAAACCGGAGCUAAUACCGGAUAACAUGUUGAACCGCAUGGUUCAACAGUGAAAGACGGUCUUGCUGUCACUUAUAGAUGGAUCCGCGCCGCAUUAGCUAGUUGGUAAGGUAACGGCUUACCAAGGCAACGAUGCGUAGCCGACCUGAGAGGGUGAUCGGCCACACUGGAACUGAGACACGGUCCAGACUCCUACGGGAGGCAGCAGUAGGGAAUCUUCCGCAAUGGGCGAAAGCCUGACGGAGCAACGCCGCGUGAGUGAAGAAGGUCUUCGGAUCGUAAAACUCUGUUAUUAGGGAAGAACAAAUGUGUAAGUAACUAAGCACGUCUUGACGGUACCUAAUCAGAAAGCCACGGCUAACUACGUG